GAUGAACGCUGGCGGCGUGCCUAAUACAUGCAAGUCGAGCGAAGCGGGGACGGGUGAGUAACACGUGGAUAACCUCCUAUAAGACUGGGAUAACUUCGGUAAACCGGAGCUAAACCGGAUACUUAUUGAUGGAUCCUCGCUGCAUUAGCUUGGUGGUAAGGUAACGGCUUACCAAGUCAACGAUGCAUAGCCGAGCUGAGAGGGUAGUCGGCCACACUGGAACUGAAACGCGGUCCAGACUACUACGGGAGGCAGCGGUAGAGAAUGUUACGCAAUGGGAGGGAGCCUGGCCGGACAAAGCCAAGUAAGUGAUAAAGGUAUUCGGAUCGUGAAACUAUGUUAUUAGGGAAGCGGUACCUAAUCAGAAAGCAACGGCUAACUACGUGCCAGCAGCCGCGGUAAUUC
rnacentral:rRNA from 1 species